GAAAUGCGAUAAGUAAUGUGAAUUGCAGAAUUCAGUGAAUCAUCGAAUCUUUGAACGCACAUUGCGCCCUCUGGUAUUCCGGAGGGCAUGCCUGUUCGAGCGUCAUUUCAACCCUCAAGCCUGGCUUGGUGUUGGGGCACUGCCUGUAGAAGGGCAGGCCCUGAAAUCUAGUGGCGGGCUCGCCAGGACCCCGAGCGCAGUAGUUAAACCCUCGCUCGGGAGGCCCUGGCGGUGCCCUGCCGUUAAACCCCCAACUUCUGAAAAUUUGACCUCGGAUCAGGUAGGAAUACCCGCUGAACUUAA
rnacentral:misc_RNA from 1 species